AUUGAACGCUGGCGGCGUGCCUAACACAUGCAAGUCGAGCGGGGGAGCAAUCCCUAGCGGCGGACGGGUGAGUAACGCGUGGGAACGUGCCCUUUGGUACGGAAUAGCCCUGGGAAACUGGGAGUAAUACCGUAUGUGCCCGAAAGGGGAAAGAUUUAUCGCCUUUGGAUCGGCCCGCGUUGGAUUAGGUAGUUGGUGGGGUAAUGGCCUACCAAGCCGACGAUCCAUAGCUGGUUUGAGAGGAUGAUCAGCAACACUGGGACUGAGACACGGCCCAGACUCCUACGGGAGGCAGCAGUGGGGAAUCUUAGACAAUGGGGGAAACCCUGAUCUAGCCAUGCCGCGUGAGCGAUGAAGGCCUUAGGGUUGUAAAGCUCUUUCACCGGGGAAGAUAAUGACGGUACCCGGAGAAGAAGCCCCGGCUAACUCCGUGCCAGCAGCCGCGGUAA
rnacentral:rRNA from 1 species